AUGGUCCCUUAAGAUCACAGAUCCUAUAAGGCUCUAUGUAUUUGGUUGGUCUGGCUCCCAAAUGCCUUGGACUCUGUGAACCAAGGCAGCCAGAGUGCAUUUCAGUACAUUAAGGUGCAACCUUAACAGACAAACUGGAGAAGCCCUGAAACCUUUCCAAGAAGAUGGCGGUGGGGUCUUUUGGUCCCAUGGACUGUGGCCUGCUAGGCUCCUCGGUUCAUGGGAUUCUCCAAGCAAGAGUACUGGAGUGGGUUGCCAUCCCCUGCUCCAGGGGAUCUUCUCAACCCAGGGGUCCAACCUGGGUCUCCGGCACUGCAGGCAGAUUCCUCACCGAGCCACUAGGGAAGCCCCUAAGAAGCAAAGCCGAAGCCCAAAUAAAGAAAUAAAUAAAAAUACUUCGGCCCAAGCCCUCUGGACGAAGGGUUUGGCUUAUACGUGACCCUCUUUGUGGCUUUUGGGAGCAGCUUCUCCGCAGCUGUGCCCCAAGUUCCAGCAGCUGUCUUGGAGAAGCCACGUGACUGUUACAUCAAUUAGAGAAAAUAAGGAAGGAAUGGGAAAAGCAUCAUUUUUCUAUUCUUCCUCAGCUGAGUCAGGUGACACUGAUUUAACAGCUGACUUUACUUUUAUUUAGUUAAAAACAUCAGUUUAGGCCUUUUAUGGAAUCGUAAAAGAGCAAGGUUUCCACUGGGCUCUGAUCAGAUCGUUCUCCCUACCGAUGAUCUGGUUGCCUUUCUGAGUCGCUGCUCCUGGGACGCCUGCGAGAAUUCUCUAUACUUGAAACCUACGCUCGGCGGAGGCGCCGCCUCCCGGGAGAGGGAG
ensembl:lncRNA